rnacentral:rRNA from 1 species
AGCGACGUCAAAGCGUUCAUUAAAGUCGAGUUGGCUUAGGGAUACGUUCGUUGGGUAGGGGAGCGUUCUGUAAGCCUGUGAAGGUGUGUCGUGAGGCAUGCUGGAGGUAUCAGAAGUGCGAAUGCUGACAUAAGUAACGAUAAAGCGGGUGAAAAGCCCGCUCGCCGGAAGACCAAGGGUUCCUGUCCAACGUUAAUCGGGGCAGGGUGAGUCGACCCCUAAGGCGAGGCCGAAAGGCGUAGUCGAUGGGAAACGGGUUAAUAUUCCCGUACUUGGUGUUACUGCGAAGGGGGGACGGAGAAGGCUAUGUUGGCCGGGCGACGGUUGUCCCGGUUUAAGCGUGUAGGUGUGUGUUCCAGGUAAAUCCGGUUCACUUUAACACUGAGGCGUGACGACGAGGCACUACGGUGCUGAAGCAACAAAUGCCCUGCUUCCAGGAAAAGCCUCUAAGCAUCAGGUAACAUCAAAUCGUACCCCAAACCGACACAGGUGGUCAGGUAGAGAAUACC